CCUACGGGUGGCAGCAGUGAGGAAUAUUGGUCAAUGGGCGGUAGUCUGAACCAGCCAAGUAGCGUGAAGGAUGACGGCCCUAUGGGUUGUAAACUUCUUUUAUAUAAGAAUAAAGUGUUGUAUGUGUAGGGUUUUGUAUGUACCAUAUGAAUAAGGAUCGGCUAACUCCGUGCCAGCAGCCGCGGUAAUACGGAGGAUCCGAGCGUUAUCCGGAUUUAUUGGGUUUAAAGGGAGCGUAGGUGGAUUGGUAAGUCAGUUGUGAAAGUUUGCGGCUCAACCGUAAAAUUGCAGUUGAUACUGGCAGUCUUGAGUACAGUAGAGGUGGGCGGAAUUCGUGGUGUAGCGGUGAAAUGCUUAGAUAUCACGAAGAACUCCGAUUGCGAAGGCAGCUCACUGGACUGCAACUGACACUGAUGCUCGAAAGUGUGGGUAUCAAACAGGAUUAGAUACCCGUGUAGUC
rnacentral:rRNA from 1 species